ACUUUAAAAGAGGAAGGAAUGACGUGUGGACAAUGAAGUACUAAUCUUUUGAUUCCGGAAACUGAAUUUUUUAUUCGAACGGAAAAUAGGAUUAGUCUGUCCACAUUUAAAUAAGUUCCUUCCUCUUUGCACGAACAAGAGGCUUUUUAGAGAACUUUGAAUUUGGAUGAAUAAUGACUAAUCCUUCCGAUUUUAUGUCGGAGGGAUUUUUGU
rnacentral:sRNA from 1 species